AGUCAACAUGCCCAGGGGACGUGGAUAACCUCGGGAAACUGAGGCUAAACCGCGAUAGGCCAAGAUUUCUGGAAUGGAUCAUGGCCUAAAUCUAUAUGGCCCCUGGAUUGGACUGCGGCCGAUCAGGCUGUUGGUGAGGUAAUGGCCCACCAAACCUGUAACCGGUACGGGCUCUGAGAGGAGGAGCCCGGAGAUGGGCACUUAGACAAGGGCCCAGGCCCUAUGGGGCGCAGCAGGCGCGAAACCUCUGCAAUAAGCGAAAGCUUGACAGGGUUACUCUGAGUGAUUUCCGCUAAGGAAGUCUUUUGGCACCUCUAAAAAUGGUGCAGAAUAAGGGGUGGGCAAGUCUGGUGUCAGCCGCCGCGGUAAUACCAGCACCCCGAGUGGUCGGGACGAUUAUUGGGCCUAAAGCAUCCGUAGCCGGUCCUGCAAGUCCUCCGUUAAAUCCACCCGCUCAACGGUUGGGCCGCGGGGGAUACUACAGGGCUAGGAGGCGGGAGAGGCAAGCGGUACUCGAUGGGUAGGGGUAAAAUCCACUGAUCCAUUGAAGACCACCAGUGGCGAAGGCGGCCUGCCAGAACGCGCUCGACGGUGAGGGAUGAAAGCUGGGGGAGCAAACCGGAUUAGAUACCCGGGUAGUCCCAGCUGUAAACGAUGCAGACUCGGUGAUGAAUAGGCUUAGUGCCUAUUCAGUGCCGCAGGGAAGCCGUUAAGUCUGCCGCCUGGGGAGUACGGUCGCAAGACUGAAACUUAA
rnacentral:rRNA from 1 species